CUGCUCACUUCAGCAGCACAUAUACUAAAAUUGGAAUACAGGGAAAAUUAGCAUGGCCCCUGUGCAAGGAUGACACACAAAUUCAUGAAGCGUUCCAUGUUUAA
ensembl:snRNA U6 U6 spliceosomal RNA